CUUCUUACUUUCCUUCUCCUUUCUCCUUCCUCCUCCAUUUUCACCUCGUUUUUAAGCUUUCAUUUUGUAGUCUUGAGCUCCUCACGAGCACCUCCUCGCCGCCACCCUAUUACCACCAUUUGGACACCACCUUGCCGCCACCUCCUUCCUUGCGUUGAACCGAGGUAUUUCCGGUUCGUAACUAGGAACCCCGUGUUUGUUUUGCAAAGAUCAAGAAAGGUGAUGGCGACCGAACAACGUGAACUAUAUGCUGCAUGGGGAAUGAUGGGCGGUGAUCACCUAGUUUAAUCUAGUAGACAUAAUAUUAGUGGUGUAGUUAUUUUGAAAAUGUAUCAAACUAUUAUUAUCAUUAAUGAAAUUUAAGUACUAUUUUUCGCUGCAAAACUCUGUUAAGCCUUACGUAAUCACGUGGCGGUAAUACUCCCAUGUUACUCCCUAAAGUUGGAUUAUUAUUGUUAAUAUUAGAGAGUAAUUUGGGGGUGUUACAAAGUGGUAUCAGAGCAUAUAGGAUAGACCUAAGAAGGGUAUAUAAAACUGAUGGGUAGACCUAAGAAGGGCAUAUAGGAUAGAGUUUCGCAUUUGUUUUUCCGAAAGUAUAUAUUUAAAUAAAAACUACUUUCUAUUUUAAUACGAAGAAAGAUUAAUAGUGGGGAUUAUUGGAUUGACAAUGAACUCUGGCUAAGGCAGGACUUGGGCUCAGGGCAACGUCGACCCUAACCUCUCCUACCUAGGAUCUCAUUGGUCCAAUUAAUCCACAUUAUGAAUCUAGUAUUCAACUUACAACUAUAUGUAAUAUUUUCGAAAUUAAAAGAAUUUGAAACGUAUUCAAAAAGUAAUUUCAAACUUUACGUGAAUUAUGUGCAUAUGGACUAUGCAAACGUCCAAAUUAUAUUUUAGAAUACAAAGGUUCGAAUUAAAAUUCGAAUUGCAUUGAGAUUGGUAGUCUUUUGGGAAUUUUAUAUCCCAAGGUAUAUUAAUGAAGGUUUAUGGAUUAUUAUUUGAUAAUUAUUCCUAAAUUGGAAAAGGAUUGGAAGGUGAAUUGCACUCUUAUGUGAAUUUGUGUGUCAUAAUUGCAUGCAAAUUAUGAUAAAAUCUUGUGAUGGUUUAUUUUGAGAUGCUAUCUAGAGUUGCUUUUAAAUGGCAAUUUAAACUUACCAGUCAAUUUGAUUAAACGUUUAGUAUCUUGUGAACAGUAAUCACAAUUCUGAGUCUUAGCUGGUAGAUGAAUAAAUUGUUUGUAAAUUUAUGUGUCUAAUUACCACAUUAUUCAGGAUCAUGUCUCUAAGGCAACG